rnacentral:rRNA from 1 species
CGCCUCUUGAUAACCCAUAAGAGGUCCAGCCUGCCCAGUGACAAAGUUAAACGGCCGCGGUACCCUAACCGUGCAAAGGUAGCGCAAUCACUUGUUCUUUAAAUGAGGACCGGUAUGAACGGCAUCACGAGGGUUAUACUGUCUCCCCACUCAACUCAGUGAAACUGAUCUUCCCGUGAAGAAGCGGGAAUAAGAAUAUAAGACGAGAAGACCCCAUGGAGCUUAAAACUCAGAAUCAACUGCCUCAUUUACAACCUCACAACCACGCAGCCAUGAUCUCUAGUUUUCGGUUGGGGUGACCACGGAGUAAAACACAACCUCCAUGAUGAAAGGAACUAAUACCCUAAUCUAAGGGCGACAGCCCUAAGAAUUAAUACAUUAACCCAAUUGAUCCAAUCACUUGAUCAACGAACCAAGUUACCCUGGGGAUAACAGCGCAAUCCAUUUCAAGAGCUCAUAUCGACAAAUGGGUUUACGACCUCGAUGUUGGAUCAGGAUAUCCCAGUGGCGCAGCCGCUACUAACGGUUCGUUUGUUCAACGAUUAAAAUCCU